rnacentral:rRNA from 1 species
ACCUACGGGGGGCAGCAGUGAGGAAUAUUGGUCAAUGGCCGAGAGGCUGAACCAGCCAAGUCGCGUGAGGGAAGAAUGUCCUAUGGAUUGUAAACCUCUUUUGUCAGGGAGCAAAGUCACCCACGUGUGGGUGUUGGAGAGUACCUGAAGAAAAAGCAUCGGCUAACUCCGUGCCAGCAGCCGCGGUAAUACGGAGGAUGCGAGCGUUAUCCGGAUUUACUGGGUGUAAAGGGAGCGUAGACGGCGAUGCAAGUCUGAAGGGAAAGGCGGGGGCCCAACCCCCGGACGGCUUUGGACACUGUAUG